AGUGAACGCUGGCGGUAGGCCUAACACAUGCAAGUCGAACGGCAGCACAGUAAGAGCUUGCUCUUACGGGUGGCGAGUGGCGGACGGGUGAGGAAUACAUCGGAAUCUACUUUUUCGUGGGGGAUAACGUAGGGAGACUUACGCUAAUACCGCAUACGACCUACGGGUGAAAGCAGGGGAUCUUCGGACCUUGCGCGAUUGAAUGAGCCGAUGUCGGAUUAGCUAGUUGGCGGGGUAAAGGCCCACCAAGGCGACGAUCCGUAGCUGGUCUGAGAGGAUGAUCAGCCACACUGGAACUGAGACACGGUCCAGACUCCUACGGGAGGCAGCAGUGGGGAAUAUUGGACAAUGGGCGCAAGCCUGAUCCAGCCAUACCGCGUGGGUGAAGAAGGCCUUCGGGUUGUAAAGCCCUUUUGUUGGGAAAGAAAAGCAGCAGGUUAAUACCCCGCUGUUCUGAAGGUACCCAAAGAAUAAGCACCGGCUAACUUCGUG
rnacentral:rRNA from 1 species